AGAUGUCGAAGACUGCUUAGUACUACAAAUCCGCGCUUCCCACACCACUGGAACUGAGGCUUCUAACUCUAUCCCCAAACUCCUUUGCACCUAUCCCUCUCUAAAAGAUCUUUCUUUUAUUUGUCUGAAAUGGCAAGCAAUAGAGAAGGUCCACUUUCAUACGCCAAUAAUCCAUCAUCCUCUUCCUCUCCGAUCGCAGUUUCUGACCAUCUGGAUGCUACCUUCCUCACAGCAGACC
rnacentral:misc_RNA from 1 species